rnacentral:siRNA from 1 species
CCAUCUACUUACACUUAAGGUCG